UUUGUUCUUCUCCUUGCAUAUCUUGGAAUCAUCUCUUUUUCUCUGUCUCUGUAUCUCUGACUAUCUCUCUGUGUUCCCUUGCACUCCAUUCUCCACCUUCACUUCUCUCUCCCCUCUUUUAACCUCUCCCUCUCUCCCAGGAUUGUUUUUGUCUUUCCAAAUCUUUCUCCACGUCUGGUUUUGACACAACUUUCAUUUUUAACAUUCAGUUUCUGUUUCUUUUUUUGUUAUGAACGCAACACACAUGACAUUUCAGUGGAAAGGAAAAGGGGAAAGGAAGAUUAACCGGGGAGCCCGAUGAAGAAGAGGGCACUUUCCGCAGUUCCAUCCGCCGCCUCUCCAGCAGAAGGCGUUAGGAGCCUGAGAUGAAGUCGCCGAGGCUGACCAGGUUUCCCAGGACUCUGCCCACGGUCCCACCCCCACGGUGUCCCUAGCUCCUCCAAACCUGUAAUAAAGGCCAGUCUUCUUCCGCGCGCAGUCCGUGUCUCUGUCCCACAGCCGGUCCGGCCGCCCGAGGCCCCGAAAGGCUGACGCUCCCUCUCUCCCCCCACUAGGAGGCGCCCCCGCCCACGGGCUCCGCAGACACUCGAGGCGGGGAUUGGGCAUGCGCCCCCCCCCCCCCCCCCCCCCCCACGGAGCCCCCAUUGGCUGCAGUGUCCGCCUCCGCCCUUUCCACCGCCCCCAACCCGGAGGUCCCUCUCCAGUCCCCCCCCUUCCCGGUCUGACCCCCCUCCCCCAGUCAGAUCUGGGCUCCCUCUGCAGCUGCUGCCUCUGCCUUCCGCGCCCCCGGCCCAGCCAUGGUGACCCCCGAGCCCAUCACACAGGGUGAGAGGGAGCGAGGCUCUACCAAGCCCGCAGCUACAGGGGACCCCAGCCGGGAGGAUGGAGGAAGGGGGGACCCCGUCAAGGGGAAGAAGGGACGUGGACUCCUGCCUGAUCUAGUGGCUAGUGGGGAGCAGGGAAGAGGAAGGGGGCCCCGUUAUGAAACAGCUGAAGAAGCAGGAAUCCCAUUCUCGGAGGUCUGGGGAGGGCACCUGGGGAAGUCUAGAGGAGGAG
rnacentral:lncRNA from 1 species